rnacentral:rRNA from 1 species
UACAGAGGGGGCAAGCGUUGUUCGGAAUUACUGGGCGUAAAGGCGCGUAGGCGGCCUGCUAAGUCGAACGUGAAAUCCCCGGGCUCAACCCGGGAACUGCGUCCGAUACUGGUAGGCUUGAAUCCGGGAGAGGGAUGCGGAAUUCCAGGUGUAGCGGUGAAAUGCGUAGAUAUCUAGAGGAACGCCCAAGGCGAAGGCAGGCAGCUGGGCCAAUUCUGACGCUGAGGCACGAAAGCGUGGGGAGCAAACGGG